CAGCUGUUUGAACAAAGUGACAGCUGCCAAAGGCCGGUUUGUUUACAAAAAUAAGCAAUUGCCGAUUUUUGAUAGCUUAUUAAAUUAAUAGGAUUAUAAUAAAAGUACUAAAAUAAUAACUUUGUAAAAAACUUAAAAUGGUGUGCGCACUAGGCAUCGAAGGAAGUGCGAAUAAAAUUGGUGUUGGCAUAAUACGUGACGGAGAAGUGUUGGCUAAUGUGCGCCGUACCUAUGUGACACCACCAGGCGAAGGAUUCUUGCCAAAAGAAACAGCACAGCACCAUAGAGAAGUUAUUCUCCAACUUAUCAAAAGCGCGAUGAAAGAAGCUAGCCUGGAACCAAAAGAGUUAGAUGUCAUUUGCUAUACCAAAGGUCCCGGCAUGGCGCCGCCACUAUUGAUUGGCGCAAUUGUAGCACGAACACUUUCUUUAUUGUGGGAAAAGCCACUUUUAGGUGUUAACCAUUGCAUUGGUCACAUAGAAAUGGGCCGUCUAAUAACAAGCGCGCAAAAUCCUAUUGUACUCUACGUGAGUGGCGGCAAUACACAAGUAAUUGCCUACUCUAAUAAACGAUAUCGCAUUUUUGGUGAAACCAUAGAUAUCGCCGUGGGCAAUUGUUUAGACCGGUUUGCGCGCAUAAUUAAACUUUCGAACGACCCCAGUCCGGGUUAUAAUAUAGAGCAGUUAGCAAAGAAGGGCAAAAUUUUUAUUAAACUGCCGUACGUCGUCAAAGGUAUGGAUGUGAGCUUUUCGGGUAUUCUUUCACAAAUUGAAGAGAUCGCCGAUCCCAGCAAAAGGCGGAAUAAGCGUAAAAAGGCAGAAGAAUCGGCGGAGGUACCGGAAUAUAGUAAUGAGGAUCUUUGUUACUCGCUUCAAGAGACAAUAUUUGCAAUGUUGGUGGAAAUUACCGAACGUGCAAUGGCGCAUUGUGGUUCUAAUGAGGUACUCAUUGUGGGUGGCGUGGGCUGCAAUGAGCGCCUACAAGAAAUGAUGCGCAUCAUGUGUGAAGAACGUGGCGGUAAACUAUUUGCUACGGAUGAGCGCUAUUGCAUCGAUAAUGGUCUGAUGAUCGCACAUGCAGGCGCUGAAAUGUUUCGUUCUGGUACACAAAUGCCUUUCGAGGAAUCAUUUGUAACGCAACGCUUUCGUACAGAUGAAGUGCUAGUCACUUGGCGCGAUGACUAAUGAAUAGGCAAAAUAUGACGCCUCAUAUUGAGUUUUGUUUAAACUGCAAACAGCAAACAACGAUUUGUUCUGCAUUCUUCAAAAAGCGCUAAGUAUGCAACGUGAUACAUCGGCAGCACUUUGCUUGUUGAGACGAUCCAGCACUCGAUAUGAUUCAUCACCCAUAUCGGGAAAGAGUAUUUUCUCAGUAAAAUUUGUAAACAUGUCCGUAAUAGUGGCGCCGGGACAGAUUGUGAUGAACUUGAUGCCAGUGCGAUUUAAGUAAGUAUCAGUCUGCAAAUAAAUACUUAUGAAUACAGUGAAAGUCUAAAAUAAAAGCACUUACACCCAAACAUCGUGUGAAAUUUAUAAUUCCUGCUUUAGUAGCAGCAUACACAGGCAGUAGAAACAUUGGAUCCAAACCGACAACAGAAGACAUAUUUGCUACAAUACCUCCUUCCCCACCAUUUUCCUUGCUCAUCACUUUAAGAGCCGCAAGUGUGGAAUUAAUAAUGCCGCCCUAUGAACGCGUACAGCAUAAUGCGUAAAUAUUGUGAUAA
rnacentral:misc_RNA from 1 species